UACGUAGGGGGCGAGCGUUGUCCGGAGUUACUGGGCGUAAAGGGCAUGCAGGCGGUCCGACACGUUUUGUGUGACAGCGGGUGGCUUAACUACCCGAGGAUACGAAAGACGGUAGGACUUGAGGACUCGAGAGGGACACGGAAUUCCGGGUGGAGUGGUGAAAUGCGUAGAGAUCCGGAGGAACACCGAAGGCGAAGGCAGUGUCCUGGCGAGUGACUGACGCUGAGGUGCGAAAGCCAGGGGAGCGAACAGG
rnacentral:rRNA from 1 species